rnacentral:rRNA from 1 species
AUGACGAUGGACAUUGCAAAGAGUGGCGAACGGGUGAGUAACACGUGGGAAACCUACCUCUUAACAGGGGAUAACAUUUGGAAACAGAUGCUAAUACCGUAUAACAAUGACAACCGCAUGGUUGUUAUUUAAAAUAUGGUUCUGCUAUCACUAAGAGAUGGUCCCGCGGUGCAUUAGCUAGUUGGUAAGGUAAUGGCUUACCAAGGCGAUGAUGCAUAGCCGAGUUGAGAGACUGAUCGGCCACAAUGGGACUGAUACACGGCCCAUACUCCUACGGGAGGCAGCAGUAGGGAAUCUUCCACAAUGGGCGAAAGCCUGAUGGAACAACGCCGCGUGUGUGAUGAAGGGUUUCGGCUCGUAAAACACUGUUGUAAGAGAAGAAUGACAUUGAGAGUAACUGUUCAAUGUGUGACGGUAUCUUACCAAAA